rnacentral:tmRNA from 1 species
GGGGAUGACAGGCUUCGACGGAAGAGGCUGGUCCCGGAAUGCGAGCCGAGAGGCGCCGACCUCGUAAACUCAGCGCAAAAAAUCAAGUGCCAACCGCACUUCCUACGCCGCUAUGCCCCUCGCUGCGUAAGCAGUAGAGAGUAAACGGCCGGUCUCCUAGCGAGGCCGCGUCCACCCGUCCCGUACUCCACCCGGUGAAGGGACUGGGCGUCACAAUGGUGGAGUGCCGCGCACGACGCCGCUGAACGCGCGAAAGAGGGCCUUCGGGCCUGGGCGGCUGGCCGCAGGUCAAUUUUGCCGGCUGGGUGACCUGUGGCGACAAGCCUCAACUGGCUACGCUCGUAGAUUUUCGAGGGUCGAGUCUUUCGGACGCGGGUUCGAUUCCCGCCAUCUCCACCU